UGUGAACAGUAAAGAGAGAAAUACAUUUAGAAUUUUCAUUGUGUAUUGUUGCUAAUGACCAAAGUAUGUGGAUUUACACACGUGUGUGUGUGUGUGUGUGUGUGUGUGUGUGUGUGUUGUUAAAGGGGCUUUGCUAGAUGGAACUAUGCCCAA